AUUUUUUUUUUCUGAAUUUCUCAGACAUUAAAUAGUGGCUUGCUUGAUUUCUUGAAUUUAGUUUGUUAUUUUUGAUCAGAUUGGUUGGUGUUGAUUGUUAAUGUAUCUGAUAUGGUUUUGUUUUGUUUUGUAAGCUUUGUCGAGAUUCUGAAGGAAAGAUACAGUCAAAGUUCAGUUCAUUGAUUUUUCAGUGAAGAAGAAAGAGGUGUAGCUUUUGGACUCUUUGCUGGAGCCUGGAGAUUCUAUGCAAAAAGGUGUUCGUGUGGUUCUAUCGCCGCUGUUCCUUUGCACAUUGUUUGGUAUUAUUUCAACGUUGUAUACUUCUUUAGCUCUUUGGGACAGCGUGCUAUCAAGCCCUUUGGCUAUUUCAAAUUCAGGUAUCAAUUUUGAGAUUAUUGAUUACUGAAUUUUUUGUGCUAAAGUUUUUGUUUUCAUUCUGUA